rnacentral:rRNA from 1 species
GCAAGUCGAACGGUAACAGGAAGAAGCUUGCUUCCUUGCUGACGAGUGGCGGACGGGUGAGUAAUGCGUAGGAAUCUGCCCAGUAGCGGGGGACAACGUGUGGAAACGCGCGCUAAUACCGCAUACGCCCUACGAGGGAAAGCAGGGGAUCUUCGGACCUUGUACUAUUAGAUGAGCCUAAGUCAGAUUAGCUUGUUGGUAGGGUAAUGGCCUACCAAGGCGACGAUCUGUAGCUGGUCUGAGAGGACGAUC